rnacentral:rRNA from 1 species
CCUACGGGCGGCAGGGAGGAAUAGUGGUCAAGGGGAGCGAGCCUGAAACAGCCAAGAAGCGUGAAGGAUGACUGCGCUACGGGUUGUAAACCUCUUUUAUAAAGGAAUAAAGUGAGGCACGUGUGCCUUUUUGUAUGUACUUUAUGAAUAAGGAUCGGCUAACGCCGUGCCAGCAGCCGCGGUAAUACGGAGGAGACGAGAGUUAUCCGGAUUUAUUGGGUUUUAAGGGAGCGUAGAUGGGUUGUUAAGUCAGUUGUGAAAGUUUGCGGCUCAACCGUAAAAUUGCAAUUGAUACUGGCAGUCUUGAGUACAGUUGAGGUAGGCGGAAUUCGUGGUGUAGCGGUGAAAUGCUUAGAUAGCACGAAGAACUCCGAUUGCGAAGGCAGCUUACUAAACUGCCACUGACAUUGAUGCUCGAAAGUGUGGGUAUCAAACAGGAUUAGAUACCCCAGUAGUC